UGCUGCUGGACUUCAGCUACACGGGCCGC
rnacentral:piRNA from 2 species